rnacentral:rRNA from 1 species
GUGUCAGCAGCCGCGGUAAUACAGAGGUCUCAAGCGUUGUUCGGAUUCAUUGGGCGUAAAGGGUGCGUAGGCGGUGCCAUAAGUCAGAUGUGAAAUCUUCGGGCUCAACCCGGAAACUGCAUCCGAUACUGUGGUGCUCGAGGACUGGAGAGGAGACUGGAAUUCACGGUGUAGCAGUGAAAUGCGUAGAUAUCGUGAGGAAGGCCAGUGGCGAAGGCGGGUCUCUGGACAGUUCCUGACGCUGAGGCACGAAGGCCAGGGGAGCGAACGGGAUUAGAAACCCCUGUAGUCC